AUUGAACGCUGGCGGCAGGCUUAACACAUGCAAGUCGAGCGAGCGGCGGACGGGUGAGUAAUGUCUGGUAAACUGCCUGAUGGAGGGGGAUAACUACUGGAAACGGUCUCUAAUACCGCAUACCAUCAGAUGUGCCCAGAUGGGAUUAGCUAGUAGGUGGGGUAAUGGCUCACCUAGGCGACGAUCCCUAGCUGGUCUGAGAGGAUGACCAGCCAAACUGGAACUGAGACACGGCCCAGACGCCUACGGGAGGCAGCAGUGGGGAAUAUUGCACAAUGGGCGAAAGCCUGAUACAGCAAUGCCGCGUGUGGGAAGAAGGCCUUCGGGUUGUAAAGCACUUUCAGCGAGGAGGCGUUACUCGCAGAAGAAGCACCGGCUAACUACGUGCCAGCAGCCGCGGUAAUUC
rnacentral:rRNA from 1 species